GAUGAAGAACGCAGCGAAAUGCGAUAAGUAAUGUGAAUUGCAGAAUUCAGUGAAUCAUCGAAUCUUUGAACGCACAUUGCGCCCCUUGGUAUUCCGAGGGGCAUGCCUGUUCGAGCGUCAUUAUAACCCCUCAAGCUCAGCUUGGUGUUGGGGCCUGCUGCACUGGCAGCCCUUAAAAUCAGUGGCGGCGCCAUCUGGCUCUAAGCGUAGUAAUUCUUCUCGCUAUGGCGUCCUGGUGGAUGCUUGCCAUCAACCCCCAAUUUUUCUAUGGUUGACCUCGGAUCAGGUAGGGAUACCCGCUGAACUUAAGCAUAUCAAUAAGCGGAGAA
rnacentral:misc_RNA from 1 species